rnacentral:rRNA from 1 species
AUUGAACGCUGGCGGCAUGCUUUACACAUGCAAGUCGAGCGGCAGCGCGGGGCAACCCUGGCGGCGAGCGGCGAACGGGUGAGUAAUGCAUCGGAACGUAUCCUCGAGUGGGGGAUAACCCAGCGAAAGUUGGGCUAAUACCGCAUGAGCUCUGAGGAGGAAAGCGGGGGACCUGCGAGGGCCUCGCGCUGGAGGAGCGGCCGAUGUCCGAUUAGCUAGUUGGUGGGGUAAAGGCUUACCAAGGCGACGAUCGGUAGCUGGUCUGAGAGGAUGAUCAGCCACACUGGGACUGAGACACGGCCCAGACUCCUACGGGAGGCAGCAGUGGGGAAUUUUGGACAAUGGGGGCAACCCUGAUCCAGCCAUGCCGCGUGAGUGAAGAAGGCCUUCGGGUUGUAAAGCUCUUUCGGACGGAACGAAAUGGGCGGGACUAAUACUCCUGUCUGAUGACGGUACCGUAAGAAGAAGCACCGGCUAACUACGUG